rnacentral:rRNA from 1 species
UACGUAGGUGGCAAGCGUUGUCCGGAAUUACUGGGUGUAAAGGGCGUGUAGGCGGGACUGCAAGUCCGAUGUUAAAUUCCCAGGCUCAACCUGGGGGCUGCAUCUGAAACUGUGGUUCUUGAGUGCUGGAGAGGAAAGCGGAAUUCCUAGUGUAGCGGUGAAAUGCGUAGAUAUUAGGAGGAACACCAGUGGCGAAGGCGGCUUUCUGGACAGUAACUGACGCUGAGUCGCGAAAGCGUGGCGAGCAAACAGG